AACCGGAUUAGAUACCCUGGUAGUCCAUGCCGUAAACGAUGAGUGCUAAGUGUUGGAGGGUUUCCGCCCUUCAGUGCUGCAGCUAACGCAUUAAGCACUCCGCCUGGGGAGUACGACCGCAAGGUUGAAACUCAAAGGAAUUGACGGGGGCCCGCACAAGCGGUGGAGCAUGUGGUUUAAUUCGAUGCUACGCGAAGAACCUUACCAGGUCUUGACAUCUUCUGCCAACCUAAGAGAUUAGGCGUUCCCUUCGGGGACAGGAUGACAGGUGGUGCAUGGUUGUCGUCAGCUCGUGUCGUGAGAUGUUGGGUUAAGUCCCGCAACGAGCGCAACCCUUAUUGUUAGUUGCCAGCAUUCAGUUGGGCACUCUAGCAAGACUGCCGGUGACAAACCGGAGGAAGGUGGGGAUGACGUCAAAUCAUCAUGCCCCUUAUGACCUGGGCUACACACGUGCUACAAUGGACGGUACAACGAGUCGCGAAACCGCGAGGUCAAGCUAAUCUCUUAAAGCCGUUCUCAGUUCGGAUUGUAGGCUGCAACUCGCCUACAUGAAGUUGGAAUCGCUAGUAAUCGUGGAUCAGCAUGCCACGGNGAAUACGUUCCCGGGCCUUGUACACACCGCCCGUCACACCAUGAGAGUUUGUAACACCCAAAGCCGGUGNNGUAACCUUCGGGGGANCAGCCGUCUAA
rnacentral:rRNA from 1 species